rnacentral:rRNA from 1 species
UGCAAGUCGAGCGGAAGAAGGGAGCUUGCUCCCGGAUGUUAGCGGCGGACCGGUGAGUAACACGUGGGUAACCUGCCUGUAAGACUGGGAUAACUCCGGGAAACCGGAGCUAAUACCGGAUAGUUCCUUGAACCGCAUGGUUCAAGGAUGAAAGACGGUUUCGGCUGUCACUUACAGAUGGACCCGCGGCGCAUUAGCUAGUUGGUGAGGUAACGGCUCACCAAGGCGACGAUGCGUAGCCGACCUGAGAGGGUGAUCGGCCACACUGGGACUGAGACACGGCCCAGACUCCUACGGGAGGCAGCAGUAGGGAAUCUUCCGCAAUGGACGAAAGUCUGACGGAGCAACGCCGCGUGAGUGAUGAAGGUUUUCGGAUCGUAAAGCUCUGUUGUUAGGGAAGAACAAGUGCAAGAGUAACUGCUUGCACCUUGACGGUACCUAACCAGAAAGCCACGGCUAACUACGUGCCAGCAGCCGCGGUAAUACGUAGGUGGCAAGCGUUGUCCGGAAUUAUUGGGCGUAAAGGGCUCGCAGGCGGUUUCUUAAGUCUGAUGUGAAAGCCCCCGGCUCAACCGGGGAGGGUCAUUGGAAACUGGGAAACUUGAGUGCAGAAGAGGAGAGUGGAAUUCCACGUGUAGCGGUGAAAUGCGUAGAGAUGUGGAGGAACACCAGUGGCGAAGGCGACUCUCUGGUCUGUAACUGACGCUGAGGAGCGAAAGCGUGGGGAGCGAACAGGAUUAGAUACCCUGGUAGUCCACGCCGU